CCUAGAUAACCACAUGUAGCCCCUCUCCCUGUUUGAGAUAAACAUGUGUGCAUUGACCUAACUCAUUGAUAGCCACCUGGACUGCUGCAAAUGGGGUGCAGGCUUUAAAAAUGGGGAUCCUGACCAGCCCAGUGCUCGCCUGUCGAGAUAGCCACAAAGGCACGUCCUCUUGUCAGUCCAGCAAGUAAUGCUGCUCCACGUUCCUCUUCCUGCCAGAUGACAGAAGAACGGCCAACACCUCCUGAUUGAGACUCGACCGAGCUCUCGUGUGAGGAACGCCGGGCCCCUGCAUCCAGACCGGACAAGCCCAGCUGGUGGACCCCAGAGGACAGCACCACCAGGAUCCCCAAUAAGCCUGUACCCGCAGCACCAGAAAUUGUCAAUGGGAAAACUAUCCUCAGGCCAUCUUCCAGUCAGCAAGUCACAGCCUCACAAGAAAUAUGAAGAAAGGCAAAAGUGGUUUGGAAAUGUCGAUACGAAAUGCAUAAUUCAGGGAGUGUGCCUCCCCGAGGGACCGCUGAUGGAUGAGCUGUGAUGAAGACGGGGGUCGAGUUUUCACGGUGCGGAAGGAGAUGUUAACCCGACCUGCAGCCUCUGCACACUUGGCAGAGGUCCAGGGACACGACCCUGCUCGGUCACCCAGGGCACAUUUCAAAGCGGCAUGCACGACCUUUCUGCAGCUGACGGAAGUUUCUUCUACCACAUCUUUGACUUUUGUUUCUCCUACUCUCAUAGUAUGAACAGCUGACAUUGAUUGAUACUGUCCAUCUGCCAGGAACUGUUCCAAACUCACUGUUCUAAGACAGGACAUAAGGAGCUGGAUUGCCGCCCAGGUGGAGUUUGGAAGAAAUCAAAUAGGACCAUGGAAAAUCACCAGUGGAGUGGGGUGGAGGGAAAGUAAAAUGUGCAAGGAGGCAACCAUCACCAUUGCACACUGCUUAGCUCAGCAGCAGACUGUUCAUACAUAGACAUUAUGUAAACAAUGCUUUUUUUUACUUUAAAUUGUGGUAUAUCUACACUUAGAGAAUGGUAGGUGAUCAUCUUCCACAACAGGAGUCACUGAUAGCAUCUUGUCCAGAUACUCCCUACUAUCCCACUGUCCUCUUCCUAGAACCAGGGACAGACUACAUUUCCCAGCCUCCCUUGCACUUAGGUUGAGACAUGUGAGUGGUGUCAGCCAAUGAAAUGUGCCCUCUGCAGGAUUUCAAUUAAGCCUCCAGGUGCCCUCUGAGACUGGUGCUGCUAUUAUCCCCAUUUUACAGAUGAGCAGUCUAAAGCACUAAAGUUAGGCAAUGUGCCUGUGCUCACUCAGUGACCCACCCCCAGGUCUGAGCCUGAGAUCAGAGGGCACAGGUGUCCUUCUGUCUGAACGUUCCUGAGCACCUGAGUGUCUCUGACUCUGAGGCAGACUGCAUGUCUGUGCUUCUCUUGUCCAGGAAGAAGCGCCAGAGCUCUCUGGCCACAGCAUGAGCCCAG